rnacentral:rRNA from 1 species
UUUGCUGACGAGCGGCGGACGGGUGAGUAAUGCCUAGGGAACUGCCCAGUCGAGGGGGAUAACAGUUGGAAACGACUGCUAAUACCGCAUACGCCCUACGGGGGAAAAGAGGGGACCUUCGGGCCUUCUGCGAUUGGAUGUACCUAGGUGGGAUUAGCUAGUAGGUGAGGUAAUGGCUCACCUAGGCGACGAUCCCUAGCUGUUCUGAGAGGAUGAUCAGCCACACUGGGACUGAGACACGGCCCAGACUCCUACGGGAGGCAGCAGUGGGGAAUAUUGCACAAUGGGCGCAAGCCUGAUGCAGCCAUGCCGCGUGUGUGAAGAAGGCCUUCGGGUUGUAAAGCACUUUCAGCGAGGAGGAAAGGUUAAGUGUUAAUAGCACUUAGCUGUGACGUUACUCGCAGAAGAAGCACCGGCUAACUUCGUGCCAGCAGCCGCGGUAAUACGAGGGGUGCAAGCGUUAAUCGGAAUUACUGGGCGUAAAGCGUACGCAGGCGGUUUGUUAAGCGAGAUGUGAAAGC